rnacentral:rRNA from 1 species
CAAACAGGAUUAGAUACCCUGGUAGUCCACGCCGUAAACGAUGUCGACUUGGAGGUUGUGCCCUUGAGGCGUGGCUUCCGGAGCUAACGCGUUAAGUCGACCGCCUGGGGAGUACGGCCGCAAGGUUAAAACUCAAAUGAAUUGACGGGGGCCCGCACAAGCGGUGGAGCAUGUGGUUUAAUUCGAUGCAACGCGAAGAACCUUACCUACUCUUGACAUCCAGAGAACUUAGCAGAGAUGCUUUGGUGCCUUCGGGAACUCUGAGACAGGUGCUGCAUGGCUGUCGUCAGCUCGUGUUGUGAAAUGUUGGGUUAAGUCCCGCAACGAGCGCAACCCUUAUCCUUUGUUGCCAGCGGUUAGGCCGGGAACUCAAAGGAGACUGCCAGUGAUAAACUGGAGGAAGGUGGGGAUGACGUCAAGUCAUCAUGGCCCUUACGAGUAGGGCUACACACGUGCUACAAUGGCGCAUACAAAGAGAAGCGACCUCGCGAGAGCAAGCGGACCUCAUAAAGUGCGUCGUAGUCCGGAUUGGAGUCUGCAACUCGACUCCAUGAAGUCGGAAUCGCUAGUAAUCGUGGAUCAGAAUGCCACGGUGAAUACGUUCCCGGGCCUUGUACACACCGCCCGUCACACCAUGGGAGUGGGUUGCAAAAGAAGUAGGUAGCUUAACCUUCGGGAGGGCGCUUACCACUUUGUGAUUCAUGACUGGGGUGAAGUCGUAACAAGGUAACCGUAGGGGAACCUGCGGUUGGAUCACCUCCUUACCUUAAAGAA